GAGGGGGUCAGCCAUACAUAUGGUUUUAUAUUUUUUCGACAUCGAAAAAAUAGAGUUUUCUGGCUCGUCCGGCUAUGGAUGAGGCGCCCGGGAUACUGGGACAUAAUGAACAAUUUUUUAUGGCUGUUGGAAUGCAUUUACUCCAUCAUUGUCUCAGUGACCUUUUGCGUUGAUAUCCUGUGCCGAAGAAUUGCCGCUCAAUAACUCUCCUAAAUUGAAUGUGCAGAUGAAAUCUGCCAUCAACAAAGGUGGAAAGAAAAGGGAUGAGAGACUGACUGCAACAAGGGGUGCUUUGAUGGUGGUUGGUAGGACGCUCUUGACCUUGCUUUUGAAACCGGUUAAGGAUGAGUAGUACUUACUUCUCAUCGAAAUGUUGAGUAAUGCAAUAUUUGUUUUAAGCAAAAUACACCAUUUAGGUUCAGUAUAUAGAAGUUCAGCCGCGUUAAGCCUUUCGCUGGUCUCAAAUGAAAUGCAGCCUUGUAUGAAGGAAGUGCUCGUUGAUGCUUCUUUGCACUCUUGUUUAUAUGGAGAAGAUUUGGCUGAUAGGCUCAAAUCAAUCAGAUUAGCUGCAGAUUAGUGGCCGAGUUAAAGUCAGGUGCAUCCGGAACAAGGCUUUUAUAGCAUACAAAUUUAAACUCGACCGUCCCACUUCGUUCCCGGAAGUUGCAAGGCUGAAGUGGGUGAAAGUCAUUGUACCCUCAAAAGAGGGAAUACAGGAAGGUUCGAGAGGAAAGGGGGUGGAGUUGUGUCCCCAGGAAAAAAUAAACUCAAGAUGCACAGAUUCUACCUUGGUUAGAUGGAUAUAAAAUUCCAUCUGCGAGGCCAGUUAUACAGGACUUGAUUACGACAGAUCCUGUUUGGUCCCAACAAGAAAAAGAUUCAAUUUGUAAUGUGGUCAAACACCUGUUAGAGAUAAGUGCAACUGCAGUUUGCGAACCUUGUAAGAAUCAAUUUAUUUUACAGAUCUUUUUGGUUUCAAAAUUGGAUGGUUCGGUUUGAUUAGUUUUAAAUUUAAAGAAACUGAAUGCUUUUAUUGACACUUGUCAUUUUAAACUGGAAGACAGAAAAUUAGUAGAAACACUCUUCACAAGGAAGUCCUUUAUGACCACUCUGGACUUGAAAGAAGCUUACUUUCUAGUCCCAAUAAUUGAAAAUCAAAAGAAUUUUCUAAGAUUUUAUUUUGAUGCUCUCUGUUAUCAGUUUAACGUGUUACCCUUUGGUUUAUGCACCGCCCCGUGGGCCUUUACAGAAUUAAUGAAAUCUGUGGUUUCUUAUCUCCCUGCCAAGGCUUUUCCCUCAAUAGUUUAUUUAGAUAACUUUACUAUUUGGUGAUAGUUAGCUAUCCUUAAAAAAUGUUCAAGUAACUUGCAACACACUGAUUAGGUUGGGUUAUGUUAUUAAUUAUAAGAAUGUUUUACAUCCUUCGAAAUCCCGUAAAUUUUUAGGUUUUGUUUUUUUGAAUCCCACCACUUGUUUUUUCUGAUGAGUAAGUAAGUUUUGCAAUUUGAACCGUUGCGAAAUAAGAGUCUUUGCCGAGCUUUGUGCUGUGCUAGUUUUCAGUUUGCCCAGCAGUUUGUUACAGUUGGGUAUAUACUAAGAAUUUUUGAGAGAAUCAAAUAUCUAGCCCUUCAAGACUCUGUCGAUAAUUAUGAUAUUUGGAUGAUAAUUCCUUGUAAUUUACGGAGGGAUUUUAUGUGAUGGCUAAAAAGUUUACAGAAUCCUGAAUGCCCUGUAAGGCAGCAAUGUUACAAACUUGAGAUUUUCUCAGAUGGUACUCCUUUGGGUUGGGGAAUUGUGCCAGAGAACUUUGGAGUCCUAGGGAAGCUCAGUUUCAUAUUAAUGCACUAGAAUUAACUGCGGCCUCAUUUGGUCUCUAAUGCUUCGCCUCGUAUUUGACUAACUGCGAGACACUUUUGAGGAUUGAUAACACAACUGCUAUUUUGUAUGUAAAUAGAAUAGGAUCCGGAGGCAUCUAAUGAAGACUCGUUUACUGUUUUUUGGAGCGACAGUUUCUUCUAUGUUUUCCCCCCGUUUUGCUUGUUGCCACUUGUUUUACGAAAAAUCAAGGCUGAUUGAGCUACAGGGAUCGCAGUAAUCCCUUACGGGCACAGCCAGCAUUGACAAAUUACCUUCUUCUUUUGACAGGAGAGGUCACCCUUUGUGGAAAUCCCUUACCCUGGCUGCAGGGAUUUUGUCAGGCAAGCAUUCCAGAAGAUUUGCUGGAUAUUUUUCUAUCAUCUGUUCAGAGCGCUACCUUGAGGCAUUUAAUACCUGCAUGCAUUUAAACUUUGGUGGAGCUUUUACGAAAGGAGGGGAGUGGAGUGUUAUUACUUCUCACCUAGGCUGUAUUGGAUUUCCUUACUAUUCAUUUUAGACA